AGAGUUUGAUUCUGGCUCAGGACGAACGCUGGCGGCGUGCUUAACACAUGCAAGUCGAGCGAUGAAGUUUCUUCGGAAAUGGAUUAGCGGCGAACGGGUGAGGAACACGUGAAGAAUCUGCCCUCCACUUUGGGAUACACCGGGAAACCGGUGCUAAUACCGAAUAUUGAAACAUAAGUGGCAUCACUGAGUUUUGAAAGAAUUUCGGUGGAGGAUGACUUCGCGGCCUAUCAGCUAGUUGGUGAGGUAAUGGCUCACCAAGGCAACGACGGGUAGCCGGCCUGAGAGGGCGACCGGCCACACUGGGACUGAGACACGGCCCAGACUCCUACGGGAGGCAGCAGUGGGGAAUAUUGGGCAAUGGAGGAAACUCUGACCCAGCGACGCCGCGUGCGGGAUGAAGGCCUUCGGGUUGUAAACCGCUUUCAGUAGGGAAGAAGCGAAAGUGACGGUACCUACAGGAGAAGCACCGGCUAACUAUGUGCCAGCAGCCGCGGUAAUACAUAGGGUGCAAGCGUUGUCCGGAAUUAUUGGGCGUAAAGAGCUCGUAGGUCGUUUGUUACGUCGGAUGUGAAAACCUGAGGCUCAACCUCAGGCCUGCAUUCGAUACGGGCAAACUAGAGUUUGGUAGGGGAGACUGGAAUUCCUGGUGUAGCGGUGGAAUGCGCAGAUAUCAGGAGGAACACCAAUGGCGAAGGCAGGUCUCUGGGCCAAUACUGACACUGAGGAGCGAAAGUCUGGGGAGCGAACAGGAUUAGAUACCCUGGUAGUCCAGACCGUAAACGGUGGGCACUAGUUGUGGGAACCUUCCACGGUUUCUGCGACGCAGCUAACGCAUUAAGUGCCCCGCCUGGGGAGUACGAUCGCAAGAUUAAAACUCAAAGGAAUU
rnacentral:rRNA from 1 species